rnacentral:rRNA from 1 species
CCUACGGGAGGCAGCAGUGGGGAAUAUUGGACAAUGGGCGAAAGCCUGAUCCAGCAAUGCCGCGUGAGUGAUGAAGGCCUUAGGGUUGUAAAGCUCUUUUACCCGAGAUGAUAAUGACAGUAUCGGGAGAAUAAGCUCCGGCUAACUCCGUGCCAGCAGCCGCGGUAAUACGGAGGGAGCUAGCGUUGUUCGGAAUUACUGGGCGUAAAGCGCACGUAGGCGGCUUUUUAAGUCAGGGGUGAAAUCCCGGGGCUCAACCCCGGAACUGCCCUUGAAACUGGGAAGCUAGAAUCUUGGAGAGGCGAGUGGAAUUCCGAGUGUAGAGGUGAAAUUCGUAGAUAUUCGGAAGAACACCAGUGGCGAAGGCGACUCGCUGGACAAGUAUUGACGCUGAGGUGCGAAGGCGUGGGGAGCAAACAGGAUUAGAUACCCUGGUAGUCCACGCCGUAAACGAUGAUAACUAGCUGUCCGGGUUCAUGGAACUUGGGUGGCGCAGCUAACGCAUUAAGUUAUCCGCCUGGGGAGUACGGUCGCAAGAUUAAAACUUAGAAGUAUAGCGNUAGACGAGCGACGACGACGACGAGGAGGAGAG